GUUGUGAUGCCAUCCACCAUGGGGUCCUCUCCAGAGCUGUGCUGAUGUCAGCCUUGUGUCCUUGAUCCUCCAGAACUGAAGGAAAUUAUCCUGGUUUGGAAAAGGGUCAACAUUUCAGAGGCUGAGCUGUUUGCCCCACAAUUUGGCAUGCUUUAGAAAUCUCAUUCAUUCUGAAAAUUAAGUGCUAUGCUAUUUGAGCUCUGGCAUGUUUGGGGAGAAGAGAAGAUACCAGUGACAACUUUGGAUGUGCUCCAUGGACAAGCCCCUUGAAUAAAGAGUGGACGUGGCCUCUCAUGGCCCCAUGGGCCUCAGGAA